UACGUAGGGUGCAAGCGUUAAUCGGAAUUACUGGGCGUAAAGCGUGCGUAGGCGGUUUCUUAAGUCUGCUGUGAAAGCCCUGGGCUCAACCUGGGAAUGGCGGUGGAUACUGAGAAGCUGGAGUACGGUAGAGGAAGGUGGAAUUCCCGGUGUAGCGGUGAAAUGCGUAGAGAUCGGGAGGAACAUCAGUGGCGAAGGCGGCCUUCUGGACCAGUACUGACGCUGAGGUGCGAAAGCCAGGGGAGCGAACGGG
rnacentral:rRNA from 1 species